rnacentral:rRNA from 1 species
AAUGAACGUUGGCGGCAUGGAUUAGGCAUGCAAGUCGAGCGAGAAGUGUAGCAAUACACGGAAAGCGGCGGAAGGGAGAGUAAUACGUGGGAAUCUGCCCUUAGACCUGGGAUAGCAGCGGGAAACUGCUGGUAAUACCAGAUAAUGUCUAUGGACCAAAGGUGUGAUUCCGUCUAGGGAUGAGCCCACGUCCUAUUAGCUAGUUGGUAGGGUAAUGGCCUACCAAGGCGAUGAUGGGUAGCGGGUGUGAGAGCAUGACCCGCCUCACUGGGACUGAGACACUGCCCAGACACCUACGGGUGGCUGCAUUCGAGAAUCGUCGGCAAUGGGCGCAAGCCUGACCGAGCGAUGCCGCGUGCGGGAUGAAGGCCUUCGGGUUGUAACCCGCUGUCGAGGGGGAGCAACUUCCAUAGAGUUAUCUUUAUGGAUUGAGUGAUCCCUGGAGGAAGGACGGGCUAAGUUCGUGCCAGCCGCCGCCGUAAAAC